UAAUUCUUCAAGCCCAAGUCAAAUUCUCCCAUACCCAUCCAAAACCCGAAACCCGUUUUCCCCAGAUCCGACCCGGAUCCAUCUCUUAAAUUAACCUAGAAUACACUAAAGAGAGGACCAGCCGCAAUAGAUCCAUCACCCCACCCCCUCGGCUUCGUCUCCUUCAAGACCCACCCCUCCCUGAAAAGAACCAGUAGAACACUGCUCCAAGACCACAUUUUCUUCACAAGAAUAGUCACGCAUAUACUCACGGGAGAGACAGAAAAUCGGGACAAAGGGAGAGGAGAAAAGUUCUAAAGGGACUUCGAUUGAGGUUUGGUUCUGAGUUCGUUCGUCGAUAGGAGAUUUCCGUUGCCAAGUCGAGUUUCGCCAAUUGGUUCGCGGUCUCAGCUGCAUUCUGUUGCUUUAUUGUUGAUUUCCUUCAACUUUUCUCCAUUGUAUUCAUUUGGGGAGCAUUCGAGCUAAUUGAAAGUCCAUUUGAGUAAGUGUUUUAGGAUACGCUUAGAGUGUUUCAACAUGGUAGGAUUAUAUGCUCCUCGUUGAUUUCCAUCUGGUUUUGAGUGUGAUUUUUUGUAUCAUGGACAAAUAUAUACUUGGGUCUUAAGUGGAAUAUGCUAAUUUUUUUCUGUUAAGUAUGAGCAUGAAGCGGGUUUAAUUGUUCUCUCUAUGUGAUUUUCAGUCUACGGUUUAAUUUGGUCAACUUAAGGUUGAUGGAUUGUUCUUAUUAUUGCCAAGAUCAGUUUAAUCUUCAAAUAUUUAAUUUCAUGUUUAGUGUAGUUAAAUAUACAUUUAUAUAUGUUGCUUUAGGAUCUUCAUGUUAGGAUAUCACGAGAUUAGUGAUCUUUGUCAAAGUUCAGAUGCCCAUUUUUCCUUUGCUGCUUGAUAGCUCCAUCCUGAUAAUUGCUUAAGUUGGUUUUCUUGUUUAAUCAAUUGGUAGUACUAGUUAGCUUUCUUGGAAUGUAUAUUUGGCUUAAUAAGUACGUUUUCAAAAAUUGGCAAGUGUUGAAGGAGGAGAAAAGUUACUGAAUUCUUAUUAUUUUCCAUUUUGGUUGUACCCUGGGGCUACAUAACAUGGUCCAAAUUUCCUCCUUGGUUUGAAGCCUGAUCAUGCUUAAUUCCAUUUCUGAUUCAUUGGUGUUGAUCUGUUAUGCUUUCUUCAUUUUACUAGUAGUAUCAAAAUUUUGGGCAAAGUAUACUGAGUUUGAGUUUUUAAUUGGUUGCUAGCUACUGCUGAUUUCUGUAAGCUCUUGUUGAAAAAUUCUUUGCAAGCUUGUAAUCACAUUGAAGGUUGUCGAUUAAGCAUAGACUAGAAUAACUUCUGGUUCUGAGUGUAAUUUUGGUUUCAAGUUUGCAUUUUGUUGAGAAGCUGAGCGUGGAGGGUGUUGAACUAAGUUUAGGAGAUUUAGUUGUCUAAAAGGAUUCAAAUUCCAACUGUGGUUGAAAGUAAUCAGAAAGUCUUUAAAGAUAGCCUAAGAAUUGUUUAAUAAAAGGGAUUAUCUACCUAACCAACUAAAGAAGCUUCUAGUAGUGGUAAGGUUUAGAUUUCACUAUUGAAAAAUUUAAUUCAAUAAGGUUUGAGUGGAAUCAACUUUUAAAAUGUUAAAAGGCCAUUUUGUGAAUGAAAGGGCAUUCUCCAUUGCCUAUUUAAGGAGUUCAUAGAUAGAGAAAAAAAGACGAAGAUAGAAACACAAGAGUGAGUCAAAAGAGACACUAGAGAGAACAAUAUAGAAAGGAAAGAGUCCAAAGAGGGAAAGAAAAAAAAAUAGAGCUGAAAACAAGUUCUAAAAUCAAGAAAUGAGAUUCCAUAUCUGAGAAUCAUAAGCCAAGAAAAAUAGAAAGAAAAUUGGAAUUUCCGAUGAAGAUUUGAAGAGAAAUAAUUUGAAAAAUUCGAUUUCUUUCUUUCUGGGCUUCGAAAAGUUGCUCUUGAGCUGUGGAAUAGCUGUAUCGUCGAUGUUGUUGUUGCAACCGUACUGAGCUCUGUUUGGUUUCGAUUUUGCCUUUAUUUGGCCAACCUGUUGGUGAUUUCAUUGUUCAGCUAGGUUCAAAGCGAUCCAUAGUUGCUGCAAAUUAGCUCCAAGACAGAUGCGUUACUGCUGAAAAUCAGCCGUGAAAACUCUAUUUUUCUGACACAGAAUCCAAUUCUUAAAGCUACCUUAAAUCACUCCAAAAUCUAGCCAUAACAAGCAGUAAAACGCAGCAAAACCUGCUGCAAGGCUGCCGAAAAAUAGCUCCAAAGCAGGCCCAAAUCAGCGCCCCAGAAAUGCUGAAAGCAGAUCGCCAAAAUACCCCCAAAAUAGCCCAGUAACGACCUAAAAUACAACCCUGCUUCUUGGUGGAAAUUAGCUACAAAACAGCCCCCAAACUACUCAAUAACGAGCUCAUAUCCACUCCAAAAAUGCAGCAACACCAGCUGCGAAGAUCAGUUGCAAAUCAGUCCAAAUACUACAUCAAAUUCCACCCCAAAAUAGCAGCAAAAACAGCUACAACAUAGCCCCCCAAUACCACCCAUUAACCACCUAUUGUGGCCAUUUAAUACCACCAAUAACUUGACUCAAUCCAAGUUCUUAAUCUUUUAAGUUUUGGUUUGUUCUAGUUUUUGGUUCAAGGUCGUUGUUAAGUUUGUGGUUGACCGAUUCUGUUCUAUUAGAAGUUCCGUGUUUCGCCUUUUGUUUGGAGAAAAAUCAAAACUACCCGAAUUCCUUGUAUCAUUGCAUCACCAGAAGUUCUUGCAUCUAAAUAAAUUUUCAGCAAUCAAUGUCCACCUCUUACGGCUCAUUUUUUCAUAUUCUCUCAUUCUUGUUAUUUAAGAAAUGCUUGAUUAGUCU